rnacentral:rRNA from 1 species
GACGAACGCUGGCGGCGUGCUUAACACAUGCAAGUCGAACGGGAGUAUUGAAGAAGCUUGCUUUAGAGAUACUUUAGUGGCGGACGGGUGAGUAACGCGUGAGGAGCUAGUCCUAUGCAGGGGGACAACAGCUGGAAACGGCUGCUAAUACCCCAUAAGCCGAGAGGUAAAAGGAUCAAUCCGGCAGAGGAGGUACUCGCGUCCUAUCAGCUAGUAGGUGAGGUAACGGCUCACCUAGGCGAAGACGGGUAGCCGGCCUGAGAGGGCGAACGGCCACACUGGAACUGAGAUACGGUCCAGACUCCUACGGGAGGCAGCAGUGGGGAAUAUUGGGCAAUGGGGGAAACCCUGACCCAGCGACGCCGCGUGGGUGAAGAAAUCCUUCGGGAUGUAAAGCCCUGUUGUAUGGGAAGAGCGGAAGACGGUACCAUACGAGGAAGCCCCGGCAAACUACGUG